rnacentral:rRNA from 1 species
ACUCCUACGGGAGGCAGCAGUGGGGAAUCUUGGACAAUGGGCGCAAGCCUGAUCCAGCCAUGCCGCGUGAGUGAUGAAGGCCUUAGGGUCGUAAAGCUCUUUCGCCAGGGAUGAUAAUGACAGUACCUGGUAAAGAAACCCCGGCUAACUCCGUGCCAGCAGCCGCGGUAAUACGGAGGGGUUAGCGUUGUUCGGAAUUACUGGGCGUAAAGCGCACGUAGGCGGAUUGGAAAGUUGGGGGUGAAAUCCCAGGGCUCAACCCUGGAACUGCCUCCAAAACUACCAGUCUAGAGUUCGAGAGAGGUGAGUGGAAUUCCGAGUGUAGAGGUGAAAUUCGUAGAUAUUCGGAGGAACACCAGUGGCGAAGGCGGCUCACUGGCUCGAUACUGACGCUGAGGUGCGAAAGUGUGGGGAGCAAACAGGAUUAGAUACCCUGGUAGACA